rnacentral:rRNA from 1 species
UACGUAGGUGGCAAGCGUUGUCCGGAAUUAUUGGGCGUAAAGCGCGCGCAGGCGGUCUCUUAAGUCUGAUGUGAAAGCCCACGGCUCAACCGUGGAGGGUCAUUGGAAACUGGGGGACUUGAGUACAGAAGAGGAAAGCGGAAUUCCACGUGUAGCGGUGAAAUGCGUAGAGAUGUGGAGGAACACCAGUGGCGAAGGCGACUUACUGGACUGUAACUGACGCUGAGGCAUGAAAGCGUGGGGAGCAAACAGG